GGCUCGGUGGCGGAUGAUCCGCGCUUGCAUUCCGUACUUUGGCAACCCUGCGGUUUAAGCAGGAGACACCCGUUCGACUCGGGUCCGAGCCA